CAUGCACCGAAGCUGCGGCAGCGACGCUUAUGCGUUGUUGGGUAGGGGAGCGUUCUGUAAGCCUGCGAAGGUGGCCUGUGAGGGUUGCUGGAGGUAUCAGAAGUGCGAAUGCUGACAUAAGUAACGAUAAAGCGGGUGAAAAGCCCGCUCGCCGGAAGACCAAGGGUUCCUGUCCAACGUUAAUCGGGGCAGGGUGAGUCGACCCCUAAGGCGAGGCCGAAAGGCGUAGUCGAUGGGAAACGGGUUAAUAUUCCCGUACUUGGUGUUACUGCGAAGGGGGGACGGAGAAGGCUAUGUUGGCCGGGCGACGGUUGUCCCGGUUUAAGCGUGUAGGUGUGUGUUCCAGGUAAAUCCGGUUCACUUUAACACUGAGGCGUGACGACGAGGCACUACGGUGCUGAAGCAACAAAUGCCCUGCUUCCAGGAAAAGCCUCUAAGCAUCAGGUAACAUCAAAUCGUACCCCAAACCGACACAGGUGGUCAGGUAGAGAAUACCAAGGCGCUUGAGAGAACUCGGGUGAAGGAACUAGGCAAAAUGGUGCCGUAACUUCGGGAGAAGGCACGCUGACACGUAGGUGAAGUGAUUUACUCAUGGAGCUGAAGUCAGUCGAAGAUACCAGCUGGCUGCAACUGUUUAUUAAAAACACAGCACUGUGCAAACACGAAAGUGGACGUAUACGGUGUGACGCCUGCCCGGUGCCGGAAGGUUAAUUGAUGGGGUCAGCGCAAGCGAAGCUCCUGAUCGAAGCCCCGGUAAACGGCGGCCGUAACUAUAACGGUCCUAAGGUAGCGAAAUUCCUUGUCGGGUAAGUUCCGACCUGCACGAAUGGCGUAAUGAUGGCCAGGCUGUCUCCACCCGAGACUCAGUGAAAUUGAACUCGCUGUGAAGAUGCAGUGUACCCGCGGCAAGACGGAAAGACCCCGUGAACCUUUACUAUAGCUUGACACUGAACAUUGAGCCUUGAUGUGUAGGAUAGGUGGGAGGCUUUGAAGUGUGGACGCCAGUCUGCAUGGAGCCGACCUUGAAAUACCACCCUUUAAUGUUUGAUGUUCUAACGUGGACCCGUUACCCGGGUUGCGGACAGUGUCUGGUGGGUAGUUUGACUGGGGCGGUCUCCUCCUAAAGAGUAACGGAGGAGCACGAAGGUUGGCUAAUCCUGGUCGGACAUCAGGAGGUUAGUGCAAUGGCAUAAGCCAGCUUGACUGCGAGCGUGACGGCGCGAGCAGGUGCGAAAGCAGGUCAUAGUGAUCCGGUGGUUCUGAAUGGAAGGGCCAUCGCUCAACGGAUAAAAGGUACUCCGGGGAUAACAGGCUGAUACCGCCCAAGAGUUCAUAUCGACGGCGGUGUUUGGCACCUCGAUGUCGGCUCAUCACAUCCUGGGGCUGAAGUAGGUCCCAAGGGUAUGGCUGUUCGCCAUUUAAAGUGGUACGCGAGCUGGGUUUAGAACGUCGUGAGACAGUUCGGUCCCUAUCUGCCGUGGGCGCUGGAGAACUGAGGGGGGCUGCUCCUAGUACGAGAGGACCGGAGUGGACGCAUCACUGGUGUUCGGGUUGUCAUGCCAAUGGCACUGCCCGGUAGCUAAAUGCGGAAGAGAUAAGUGCUGAAAGCAUCUAAGCACGAAACUUGCCCCGA
rnacentral:rRNA from 1 species